AACGAACGCUGGCGGCAGGCUUAACACAUGCAAGUCGAGCGCCCCGCAAGGGGCGCGGCCGACGGGUGAGUACCGCGUGGGAACGUACCUUUUGGUUCGGAACAACUCCGGGAAACUGGAGCUAAUACCGGAUAAGCCCUAACGGGGAAAGAUUUAUCGCCGAAAGAUCGGCCCGCGUCUGAUUAGCUAGUUGGUGAGGUAACGGCCCACCAAGGCGACGAUCAGUAGCUGGUCUGAGAGGAUGAUCAGCCACACUGGGACUGAGCAGCGGCCCAGACUCUUACGGGAGGCAGGAGUGGGGAAUAUUGGACAAUGGGGGCAAGCCUGAUCCAGCCAGGCCGGGUGAGUGAUGAAGGCAUUAGGGUUGUAAAGCUCGUUUGUCCGGGAAGAGAAUGACUGUACCGGAAGAAUAAGCCCCGGCUAACUACGUG
rnacentral:rRNA from 1 species